rnacentral:tRNA from 1 species
GAGAGUAUAGUUCAAGUGGUAGAGGGCAUGCUUAGCAUGCAUGAGGUUCCGGGUUCAAUCCCCAGUACCUCCU